CUUCUUUGGGCCACCAAGACUCUGCCCUAGGCUUACUGUUUCUGCACUUGAGGAUAUUCAUUCUGCCCAGCUGCAGGGGCUGGAGCUGUCUCAGCUACUGUGACUGGCUUCUAGAAUCCCUCCCCAUCAUUGUGGACUAAUGGCAUGAGCCAUCUAGUGAAGGUUGGUGAAGCCAGUGUUUCAUAACCACCUUCAUCCUGACCCUUUGUGGGUGUGCCGCGGGGCAGCUGCAAAACCAAUCCUCAAGUGACUGGUUCCUCAGCAGAAUCCCAGAGGGAAAGAGGAAUGACUAGGAGGGUUUAAGCACCAAAGCUUUACCCUGAACCUUUAACAAACUCUACAAACUAAAUAUUAUGAUUCCCCUUUGACUAAUGACUAGAAAGCCUGACUAAGCACAGCUUAGGACGUUUAGGUAGCCUGAGGAUGCAUUAGUAUUGUCUGAGCUGGGAUUUGAAACUAGGAUUGCCCAGCUCCAAAGCUCAGGC